AAGGGAAGUUGAUGUCCCUGGGAUGACGUCACUUCAUUAUUGCGCGUUCUUGUGAGAUGAGACCUUGUGUUCCAAACGUUUUUCAAGACACAGGAAAGGUCCGGUUGAAAUAUUACUGACGUUUCACUUUAAAAUGGCCCUAAAGAUUGAUGCUAAACAACGCUUGACAUGUUUGAACGAACGUAAAUAGAUUUUUUUUUUUACUUUUCGUCGUGACUUUUCCCUCCCACGCCCUACAUUUUGAGUAGCCUACUGAGCGCACUAACAACAUGGAACAACAUGGAGUUAUUUGGACAUAAAUUAUGAACUUUAUCAACAAAAUUUUUUUUGUUGUGGACCUGGGAAAUCCUGGAAGUGCCUUCUGAUGAAGAUUAUUAAAGGAACCAUGUUCGCGUCUUCAGACUGUUUACGGAAACCACCCUGGCUCUCCUCCUGUCCUACUGCCCUGGAAUGGAUGUCGUCUUCAGACUGUUUACGGAAACCACCCUGGCUCUCCUCCUGUCCUACUGCCCUGGAAUGGAUGUCGUCUUCAGAAUAUACCCACUCUAGCCAGUAGACCCUACAGAUUCAGUAUAUCAGCUUGGAACAAAGGUCACCCCUGUUUUAAAAGAUGAGCGGUAAAAUGGAUGUAUAUUACAAAGGGCAGAGACUACUGUGGUCUCACAGGAUCAGUUGGGGUUCACUAGCUAGCUAAAGUGUAAUGGGGUUUACUGCCCAACCAAGAGAGAAAAUGCCAAAUGACAUUUAGGGGCCCUGUAAGCAUAUUAGCUCCCUGUUUUACGCUCAACUGAAUCUCUUUUUCCUUUCCCUUCUCUCUUUCCAAUUGUCUUACCUUCUCUUUUUACUCAAAUAUUUUUAUUCUCUAUUUCCUUCUCUUAUUUCUCAGGCCUUGCUGGUGGUUCUGUGCCUUACCCUACUCUCUGCUCAUCUUCCUCUAUGAUGAAAUACAUCCUGCGACAAAAUUCAGGAGGUUGGGUGGACAAGGAGUAUGAAGGAUCUUGUUUGGAGACUUCUUCCUGGUUAACCUGAUCCUGUGGGUGGAGGGCAGCCAUCCCCUUCGCCGCUCUGGUGGCCAUCUUGGCUUUGAGGUUUGCCAUCUCCAUGCCCUUUACCUUUGUGGGCGCCUAGCCUACUUCGGCUUCAAGAGACCUGCUGUGUUUCAGAGUACUGUGGUGCCCUUGAGGUAGAGUAAACACCGAUCGACUUCACCCUCCUGUCCAGAGCCCAGACAUGAAAGGCUUAGUUCUCCUGCAAGCCUGAAAAUACAGAGAGCUCAGGCUUUGAUCCUCCAUGGGGUUGACUCCAGAGCGACCCCCUGUUUUCCCACUGCCAGCCCAAUCAAAGCCCUCUGCUCCCCACCAGACCUUAGGAUGGAGCAAAACGAGUGUGGAUUCAAAGUUGGAGAGAAAAGACUCAAAGAGUAAUCAAUUACUGUACCUGGAGUGUAAAUAAGACAUUAUACCAGGUGUCAGGUGUACACAGGAAGACCAACUCUAUACGCAAUCGACACGGAAGCAAUUUUUUUAACAAAAAUUGAUUUCAUUUGGUGUCACGCCCUGGCCAUAGAGGGUUUUAUUCUCUAUUUUGGUUAGGACAGGGUGUGACUAGGGUGGGCAUUCAAUGUCCUUUUUUUCUAUGUUUUUGUAUUUCUUUGUUUUGGCCUGGUGUGGCUCUCAAUCAGGGACAGCUGUACAUCGUUGUCGCUGAUUGGGAGCCAUACUUAGGCAGCCUGUUUUCCUUUGGGUUUUUGUGGGUAGUUGUUUUCUGUCUUGUGUUUUUGACCUGACAGAACUGUUGGCUUUCGUUUUUGUUUCUUUGUUUAAGUGUUUUGUCAUUUAUAAUAAAUUAUGACCACUUAUCA
rnacentral:lncRNA from 1 species